rnacentral:rRNA from 1 species
CCUACGGGUGGCAGCAGUGGGGAAUAUUGCACAAUGCGCGAAACCCUGAUGCAGCGACGCCGCGUGAGUGAAGAAGGAAUUCGGGAUGUAAAGUUCUAUCAGCAGGGAAGAAAAUGACGGUAACUGAGUAAGAAUCUCCGGCUAACUACGUGCUAGCAGCCGCGGUAAUACGUAGGGGGCAAGCGUGAUCCGGUUUGACUGGGUGUAAAGGGAGCGGAGGCGGCAGGGCAAGUCUGGAGUGAAAGGCGUGGGCUCAACCCACGGAAGGCGCGGGAAACUAGACGGCUAGAGUGCAGGAGAGGUGAGUGGAAUUCCUAGUGUAGCGGUGAAAUGCGUAGAUAUUAGGAGGAACACCAGUGGCGAAGGCGGCUUACUGGACUGUAACUGACGUUGAGGUGCGAAAGCGUGGGGAGCAAACAGGAUUAGAUACCCCAGUAGUC